rfam:Myotis davidii contig219861, whole genome shotgun sequence.
GAGACACCGUAAUGGAGUAGGACUUGCUUCAGUGGGGCUUUGGUGCUCACUGAGUCUACCCCUUGAGUGUUGUCACU